AACGAACGCUGGCGGCAGGCUUAACACAUGCAAGUCGAACGCGUGUAGCAAUACACGAGUGGCGCACGGGUGAGUAACACGUGGAUAUCUGCCUUUUGGUUCGGAAUAACUCCGGGAAACUGGAGCUAAUACCGGAUGGUACCUACGGGAUAAAGCUUUAUCGCCAAAAGAUGAGUCCGCGCACGAUUAGCUAGUUGGUGAGGUAAUGGCUCACCAAGGCGACGAUCGUUAGCUGGUCUGAGAGGACGAUCAGCCACACUGGGACUGAGACACGGCCCAGACUCCUACGGGAGGCAGCAGUGGGGAAUAUUGGACAAUGGGGGCAACCCUGAUCCAGCCAUGCCGCGUGAGUGAUGAAGGCCUUCGGGUUGUAAAGCUCUUUUGGCGGGGACGAUGAUGACGGUACCCGCAGAAUAAGCCCCGGCUAACUUCGUGCCAGCAGCCGCCGUAA
rnacentral:rRNA from 1 species